UACGGAGGAUGCGAGCGUUAUCCGGAUUUAUUGGGUUUAAAGGGUGCGUAGGCGGGAUGCCAAGUCAGCGGUCAAAUACGGGGGCUCAACCCCGCUCCGCCGUUGAAACUGUGUCCCUUGAGUGCGCGAAGGGUAGGCGGAAUGCGUGGUGUAGCGGUGAAAUGCAUAGAUAUCACGCAGAACUCCGAUUGCGAAGGCAGCAUACCGGUGCACAACUGACGCUCAGGCACGAAAGCGUGGGUAUCGAACAGG
rnacentral:rRNA from 1 species